rnacentral:rRNA from 1 species
AACGAACGCUGGCGGCAUGCCUAACACAUGCAAGUCGAACGGGAUCCAGGCUUCGGCCUGGUGAGAGUGACGGACGGGUGAGUAACACGUGGGAACCUGCCUUUUGGUUCGGGAUAACCGCGGGAAACUGCGGCUAAUACCGGAUGCUCCCGAGAGGGGAAAGAUUUAUCGCCAGAAGAGGGGCCCCGCGUCCGAUUAGGUAGUUGGUGAGGUAAUGGCUCACCAAGCCGACGAUCGGUAGCUGGUCUGAGAGGAUGAUCAGCCACACUGGGACUGAGAUACGGCCCAGACUCCUACGGGAGGCAGCAGUGGGAAUAUUGGACAAUGGCGAAAGCCUGAUCCAGCAAUGCCGCGUGAGUGAUGAAGGCCUUAGGGUUGUAAAA